rnacentral:misc_RNA from 1 species
GUGAAUCAUCAAAUUUUUGAACGCAAAUUGCGCCUUUUUCUGAAGGCAUGUGUGUUUGAGGGCACCAUUUAACAUAUAAUGUGUAUUUCGUGUGCACACGUUGAUGAGCUUUUCAACAUUAUGUAUUAUUAUUUAUGGUGGCUCAUAUUAAACAGUGAGAUGUUUUUUUUUAGUUCGAGUGUAGUAAAAUUUUUUUUUGUUUGGGUUGUGUAAAGCGUGAUCGUGCUAUGGGU